rnacentral:rRNA from 1 species
ACGGGAGGCAGCGGUGGGGAAUAUUGGACAAUGGGCGCAAGCCUGAUCCAGCGACGCCGCGUGAGUGAAGAAGUUUUUCGAUAUGUAAAGCUCUAUCAGCAGGGAAGAUAAUGACGGUACCUGACUAAGAAGCCCCGGCUAACUACGUGCCAGCAGCCGCGGUACUACGUAGGGGGCAAGCGUUAUCCGGAUUUACUGGGUGUAAAGGGAGCGUAGACGGUAUGGCAAGUCUGAUGUGAAAACCCAGGGCUCAACCCUGGGACUGCAUUGGAAACUGUCAAACUAGAGUGCAGGAUAGGUAAGCGGAAUGCCUAGUGUAGCGGUGAAAUGCGUAGAUAUUAGGAGGAACACCAGUGGCGAAGGCGGCUUACUGGACUGUAACUGACGUUGAGGCUCGAAAGCGUGGGGAGCAAACAGGAUUAGAUACCCUGGUA